rnacentral:lncRNA from 1 species
CCAUUUUAAUCAAUGUUUCCCUUUUUUCCUCUUGUCCCGUUUUCCAACUGGCUUCCUAUGCUGUUAAUGAAAUUCUGGAAGUCGUUUGCUUUCUAUUUAUCCCACUAGACAGGUUCUGGAAAGACCUUGGCAUACCUGCUGCAAAUACUGUCAGUCACUGACAGUCAAAGGUCAGCAGUACAAGCAUUGAUUGUGGUGCCUACUAAACCUUGGCAUACCUGCUACAAAUACUCUCAGUCAUUGACAGUCAAAGGUCAGCAGUACAAGCAUUGAUUGUGGUUCCUACUAGGGAGCUUGGCAUGCAAGUAAGAUUUUGUGGAGUUAUUCCUUUUUGCAUUCUACUUAUAGCAUAUGUUUGCAGAAAGAAGGAACUCUAGGGAUGCACUGAAAGUUAACUCUGCUUUAGCUAGGUCACGAAGGUUGCUCGGACGCUCGCUGCAAAGCCUUCUGAACCUGAAUCAGGAUCGAAAUCGUGCACUGUUAUGGCUCUUCUAGAUGGGGGGAUGUUAAACAGACACAAGAGUUGGUUAAAGGUACAAAAGACAUUAUUGGUCC